rnacentral:rRNA from 1 species
ACGAUGUCGACUUGGAGGUUGUGCCCUUGAGGCGUGGCUUCCGGAGCUAACGCGUUAAGUCGACCGCCUGGGGAGUACGGCCGCAAGGUUAAAACUCAAAUGAAUUGACGGGGGCCCGCACAAGCGGUGGAGCAUGUGGUUUAAUUCGAUGCAACGCGAAGAACCUUACCUGGUCUUGACAUCCACGGAAGUUUUCAGAGAUGAGAAUGUGCCUUCGGGAACCGUGAGACAGGUGCUGCAUGGCUGUCGUCAGCUCGUGUUGUGAAAUGUUGGGUUAAGUCCCGCAACGAGCGCAACCCUUAUCCUUUGUUGCCAGCGGUCCGGCCGGGAACUCAAAGGAGACUGCCAGUGAUAAACUGGAGGAAGGUGGGGAUGACGUCAAGUCAUCAUGGCCCUUACGACCAGGGCUACACACGUGCUACAAUGGCGCAUACAAAGAGAAGCGACCUCGCGAGAGCAAGCGGACCUCAUAAAGUGCGUCGUAGUCCGGAUUGGAGUCUGCAACUCGACUCCAUGAAGUCGGAAUCGCUAGUAAUCGUGGAUCAGAAUGCCACGGUGAAUACGUUCCCGGGCCUUGUACACACCGCCCGUCACACCAUGGGAGUGGGUUGCAAAAGAAGUAGGUAGCUUAACCUUCGGGAGGGCGCUUACCACUUUGUGAUUCAUGACUGGGGUGAAGUCGUAACAAGGUAACCGUAGGGGAACCUGCGGUUGGAUCACCUCCUUACCUUAAAGAAGC